CCGCAUCACAUUGAAACAUUGGUUCCCAUACGAUCACUGAAGUUAAAUGUCAAGCCUGCUUAAUACUUAAAUGGGUGACCGCUUGGGAAUAUCAGGUGCUGUAAG